GAGGUGCUCCGCAAUGCGAACUGCGCCAUGUGGCGCCGCUGGGCUGCUGCGGAGAGAAGCACGCACAGAUAACCGGCCCUGUGAAGACUUUUCAAGAUUCCACUUUGUACUGAAGACUAGCUGAGAUAUCCAACCACAUGGACUCAUCAACUACUGGAUUCUUGGACCUUCUUUUGAGAGAAAGCCAUUUUUGGGCAAUCUCGACCUCAUUCUCAUUUUAUCAACCUCUACUCCCACCAAACCCCUGAUGUCGCCUUCAAGAAUGUUCUCCUGAGACAGACAUGCUGACGCUGUGUGAUUUUUGCAUUUGGAAGGUAAAGUCAGGAAGACUGGGAGUUCAAGAUCACCUUUGGCUACGUAGCAAGCAGCAGGCAUGCAUGCAUGUUUGUGCAUGUAUGUGUGUAUUCCAUUUUGUUUGAGUGCUUUUUAAAAAUUUGACUUCUUCUGAGAACUCCUGUAGUUGAAUUAGGGAGAAGCUGGAAGAAAUUGAGGAGGAGGACAACCCCAUAGGAAGAUCAGCAGUCUCCACUAAGCCGGACCCUGAACCACCAACCAGGCAGCAUACAUCAGCUGAUGAUGGUCCCUGACACAUACACAACACAGAACUCUCUGGUCUGGCCUCAGUGAGAGAAGAUGCACCUAACCCUCAAGAGACUUCAGGCCCCAGAGAGUAGGGAGGUCUGGUGGAGUGGAGCCGAAGAGUGGGGACAUCCUCUUGGAGACAGGGAAGGAGGUAUGGGAUGAGGAACAGUCAGAGGGUGGACUGGGAGGGGGAUAAUGACUGGACUAUAAAAAAAGAUUAAAGAAUAAUAAUU